AUCCAGCUGACGAGUCCCAAAUAGGACGAAAGGCGCAUCCUGGAU
rnacentral:hammerhead_ribozyme from 1 species